rnacentral:lncRNA from 1 species
CCCCAACUCCGCAGCGCCUUGGGUCCACCGUUAGGGCGUCACCAAGGUCUGCUCUGGUGUGAACCUGGGUGCCAGGACCUGCCUGCCAUCCGAGGGAGUCCAGGGAAUGGGCGGCCCUGGAGGUGCGCUCCCACCCUCCUCGCCAGGGCCUACCCCUGCUGGGUAGCAGGGAGCCCUGGGGCAGCGGUCCCUUUCAAGUUCUAAGUAGCCUCCCUUGGAAAGCCACGCGUGCAGCGCACGUCUGCUGGUCUGCCUUCACCGUGUCCGCCCACUCCGCUGCUCUGGGCCCCAACCAGUCUCUGUUCAAGGACUUGCAGCGGACACACUGUUCCCUUCCCCUGGGUGGGACGGCACUUGAGCUGUGCCACCAGCCAUAACCCUGCUCACACCCAGCCGCUCCCCCAGGUUAAUCUGGCCCCUGCCAACUCCCGAAUUGGCUCGAUUUCUUUCAUUCUGGUGCCGAAACCCAGGAAGGUACAGCUGAGAUUAGUGACCAUCCGCCGCUGGUGGGGGUUGGUUGGUCCCUUGGCCAUCCUUCCUGAACCCUGUUGGAUGAGCACCCGACCAGGCGCCUUCACCUUUGCCACUGCUGACACCUCGCAUCCACACCAGUCCCCGAUUCCUGGGAGCUGUCACUAUACUCUGCAUGAUUCUGCUUUUUGGACCGUGCCUGUUCCGUUGUUUUCAAAAGUUCUUACAGGAACGCAUGAGAGCCUUCACAAACCAGACAGACUGUGAGCUCGUCAUGGCCAGAUACCAGCCCCUCGCCACUGAUACAAGCUCGCGAUACCGGGACCUCACUGUGGCCAUCUAAAGACCCCACCCAACAAAGCCCCUUUGCCGGCAAGAAGUAGCUACAGAAGAAGAGACCCUCGCCCCUAUUCCAUAAUAACAAGAGACUGGAAUGUGAGACAAUAUGGCCAGAGGGAGGUCUGUUACUCAAAAUGGCACCCACUUCUCCUAAAUGGGUCGUUUCCUCUCUCAGAAAAUGGAAAUGAACUCGCCAACCUGCCUCUCUACUCAUUGUCCAAUAAGUUUAAACUCUGUCACUUGCCUCAGCCAUACAACCAAUCCUCAACCCCCACAAUGCUCUCCUGUCACACAACCCUUUAUAAACCUCACCUAGUUAGACUCUCGCUCAUUCUCCAUUGUUCGAGACAGCCUGGCAGCUUCUUCCCACAAUAAAGCCCUGCCUCAGGUG